GACAGAGGGUGCAAACGUUGUUCGGAAUUACUGGGCGUAAAGCGAGUGUAGGCGGUCCGAUAAGUCGGGUGUGAAAGCCCUGGGCUCAACCCAGGAAGUGCACUCGAAACUGCCGGGCUAGAGUAUCGGAGAGGUUGGUGGAAUUCUCGGUGUAGAGGUGAAAUUCGUAGAUAUCGAGAGGAACACCGGUGGCGAAGGCGGCCAACUGGACGAAUACUGACGCUGAGACUCGAAAGCGUGGGGAGCGAACAGG
rnacentral:rRNA from 1 species